GAGAAGCACAGCUGCGAGCCGCCAUAUUGAUCCCUGGUUGCUAUAGCACUAGUGUAAACAGAACCCGCAGCACGGAGCCACCCUACUGAAUAAUGGGAGAGGUGACCAGACCAAGGACACCGCUCUUCGCCAACCGCCCUUACAUCGUCGGCUACUCGGGUUACAUCCCCGGCCUAAUGUUCCGCUACGGCAAGACCUUCGGUAAAGCGGCAGAGGAGAGCAUCGCUUUGUACAUCCGGCAACAGGCUGAUCGGCGAAGUAGAGAGGAGGUGAAGCGAUCGAGGUCACUACCCAGACUCAAGCCCAAGAGAACAGAGUCACAGGUGAUCGAGGACUUCUACAGCAAAUACGGAAUCGACGGACGCAGUAACCCCAACUACCCGCCUCUCCCUGGCUACACUGGUUACAUCCCCCAAAUGAAACCCACCGACUUGGGUAUCGGCAGGACCUUCAGCGCCGCCGCCAGGAGAGGCCUCGCCCACGUCACCGUCGCCCGGGAGCAGAGGGAGGCACUGAACCCUCGUCUCCACGUUGCCAUUCCAACUACGCACCAAACCACCGCGCCCUCCUAGUCCAUGUGAAGCGCCAACUACACGCCACGACACCACCACGCCCAACCACAACCACCAUCCACGCCCGCCACCACCACGCCCGCUGCACGAUCCACAAGUAGCCAACCAACACGCCACGCUACUACUACCACCACCUUCCACCACACGUCGUCCGUUUAAUCACCCUUGGAGAGCUGAGACAACAAGCCGCCAUCUUUAGUCUGCCGUUGUACUUGUCUCCAGCGUUUAGUCUCCUGAACAGCUAGACCCAAUACCUGUUGAGUUGAGGUAAGGCACAGACCAUGGUCACCCCACCUCGUCACACCCUGUAUACUGUGCUAGGCUGAAGGUCAUGGCCGCCUCCUCCUCACUCCUUAAACAACAUCCAGAUGAAAUAAUAAAUAUUCCACUUCUAGUAAUA
rnacentral:misc_RNA from 1 species